ACGGCGGCCUGGGAGCUUUGUUCUCAGAAUCCACUGGUCAUCAAAAGGCCGCCACACAAAUGCAGCAGGGGGGACGGCCCCUGGCUUAGCUGUGACCCAGCUGUGAGCUCUUCUGUCACGGGAAAAACUCCGGGCAGGCGGUUGCUUUCUGCGUGUGGAAUGUCAGCCGGCCCUGCCUUGGCCUGCCCUUCCUGGAAUCUGGUCCGUCUUUCCCAUCAACUCUGUUUUCCAUUUCUUCCCAGACCACCUUCCUCCAACUGAUCUCCAGGACAGUGUGCACCUGCACGACUUGCUUUCAUACCUACUACGGGGUUUGCGCCACCUGCGAGGGCCUCCAGCCCCUUGAAGUGAUUGGUUCCGGUUUUGGCGCCUCACCUCGUAGGCCGGCAGGAUCUGAAGGGAAGUCUGCUGGGAACUUACGGGAAAGAGAGUUCUCACUGGUGCGGUGACAGGUGAGAGGGAGCCCUCAUCUUCAUCAAAUGGAUGCCUGGAGUGCAUUCAGCCCUUCCAGCUCCGGAGGCCCCCGGCUAAGGGGAUCGUGCAGGCAGAGCAGGAAGCCCUGUGGGAGCACCUGGGCCCGCAUCCUUGGACAGAAUUCCACCUUCAUCUGCUGUGAUGACUCGACCUCCGGUUACUGUUCACCCCAUUCUGUUUCUGCAGGCGACACAGACUCUCUGUUAUGGCCUGAGAAAGCAGUAGAGGAUGGCCCAAGUCCUUGGGCCCCUGCACCCACGUGGGAGACCUGGAAGAAGCUCCUGGCUCCUGGCUCUGGAUCAGCGCA